GUUAGGGGUUCACACUCCACUCAAUUACAGAUUCAAUCCAAUUCACUCAAUAAAUGAGAAAUUAUAAUCUUGAAGGAAAUUAACUCUAAGUUAUUUCAAGUCCUUUCUCAAGGCGUUCUAGUUGUAUUCCAACCAAUUUAAAUCCUACUUUCGUGGUAUUCAAAUUAAUUAAAAUCCAUCAAGUUCUUUGGCCAGUUAUUAAAUUAACAUAAAAUUCCAGUCUAUAUUUAGAUCAAGAAUACUAAGCUGGAAAUCCUAUCUAUUCGAAUACCAAUUUGCACCUUUUAGUCCUUCAAUUAAUAUUUAAAUCAAUAAUAAGUGGAUAUCAAUACAUAGCAUGCAUUAAGAAUACAA
rnacentral:misc_RNA from 1 species